rnacentral:lncRNA from 10 species
CAAGUGACCCCAGAACGCCUGUCACCUGCGAGGGUAAGGACUGUUGAGUCCAGCCUCAGUCUGUGCCAUAUGUGAACCCCUCAGGCUCAGCACAGAGAGGUGGCAUAUAUGGUUGCAGGGAGGUGGGGCAGACGCAAUUCUUAUAAUUGAGUCUCAGGUUGAAAUGCUCUUCUCUGUUCCAUGGUUUUUGAUCACAGAACGGAGAAUGCAGGAUAAACUGUAGCUCUUCUGUGAAAAACAUAAGUUCAGAGAAAUGCGGUCAUAUCCGCGUGCACUCCUGCUUCCCGUGUGUAUUGAAAACAAGAUUUUUUUUCUCACCUCAGUAAGAACAGCUGCACUGUAAUUGGGAGCACCUGAUGUUUCUGCCACUAAACUUCAGUUGUGUAUUUGAACCAUCAUCACAUUCAUCGUCAUUGUGUUUUUUUCUAUUACUCAUAAGAACAAGAAGAUUAAGGUAGGAAAUUAUGACCAUAACUAGGUGGGACCUUUCAGUGUUCAAACCACAAACAAGAAACUCAAUAGCAUUUCCUGCAACUGUUAUUUUAUUAGUAUUGUUUUAUUUUUCAUUAUAACCUUAAAUAUUUAUCAAAAAGUUAACAUUUCAGUGAUUAAAAUUAAGAUACUUUUCUUUUACAAGGUUUUGAUCAUUUUUACGUAUUUGAUUUGGAACUCUGCUUCUUAUUGCUAGAAGGCCUUUCCUUCUCCAUAGGAAUAAUCAAAAUUAGUUUUAAUCAACAUUAGGCCCCUGUUGGAUCACAGGCCCUAAGUGGAUUCCCAGGCCCCAGGUGCACAUCAGGCACAGGUGUACAAGCAGACACUGGGUGGACUUACCUGUGUACAGCAACACAGGAAAUUCCAGCGCCAGCUGAUGAGCCAGUGCCAGCACCAGGGGAAGACCCCCCUUCAGGGACAGAACUGGAGCUAUCAGCAGCUCCAGAUCCCUCCUGCCCCUGUCCUGGUCCUGCCAAGGACCAGCCCAGUGAGGAGCUACCUGACAUCAUGAGAUCUGCUCUAGCCACUGGCCUCAGCCCUGGAGCUGAAAGCAUGGCUGGAGCAAGAGGUGGAAGAGAGGGGGUGGCCAGCACGGCCCCAGCCCGCAUCUCCCACGCUGGGCUCAGUCCUGGGCACAGUGGGAGACAUGGAGGUAGAGACCCGGGUAUAUGGCCUGCGCUCCUCUGACUCGCCAGAGAGAGGCUUCUCUCAUUCAGCAGAGCUGCAGCCCUGCGGCUGAAGGGCCUGCUGCUGCUCCUGCUGGGGUUGUUUGCCUGCCUGCAAGAGGCGCUGGGGGGCAGGAAAAGAAACCUGGGAGGAGGGGAUCCAGCAGCUCCUCCUGCUCCCAGAGGCGGCUUCUUCCUCCAACCUUGGAGGUCUGCCCUCAACUGGGCUUCUGGGCUGUUUGUCCCUGAGGUGCUGCCCAGGACAGGCUCUUCUUGACAGGUGGGCAGGGGUGUGGAGGCCAGGGGGCAUCUCCAAAGGGUAUCAAAACCGAAGCUUCAAAACUCAGCACUUGUGCCCCCAAAUCGCCAUGCCAUGCCACCACCUGCCCUAGAAUUCAUCCAUAGUGUUAAAAUUACAAGUUUCUACAAUAACAUUUAAAUAAAGUUUGACUUUUUGAAAG